rnacentral:rRNA from 1 species
AUUGAACGCUGGCGGCAGGCCUAACACAUGCAAGUCGAGCGCGCGGCGGACGGGUGAGUAAUGUCUGGGAAACUGCCCGAUGGAGGGGGAUAACACCUGGAAACGGUAGCUAAUACCGCAUACCAUCAGAUGUGCCCAGAUGGGAUUUGCUGGUAGGUGGGGGAAUGGCUCACCUAGGCGACGAUCCCUAGCUGGUCUGAGAGGAUGACCAUCCAAACUGGAACUGGGACACGGUCCAGACUCCUAAGGGAGGCAGCAGUGGGGAAUAUUGCACAAUGGGCGCAAGCCUGAUGCAGCCAUGCCGCGUGUAUGAAGAAGGCCUUCGGGUUGUAAAGUACUUUCAGCGAGGAGGCGUUACUCGCAGAAGGAGCACCGGCUAACUCCGUGCCGGCCGCCGCGGUAAAUC